rnacentral:tRNA from 1 species
CGGAAAGUAGCUCAUCUUGGUAAAGCACUUGGUUUGGGGCCAAGGGGUCGCAGGUUCGAGUCCUGUCUUCCCGACCA